UAGAUACCCCACUAUGCUCAACCUUAAAAUGGAUACUCCCGCCAGAGCAUUACGAGCUACAGCUUAAAACUCAAAGGACUUGGCGGUGCUCUAUACCCACCUAGAGGAGCCUGUUCUAUAAUCGACACCCCCCGAUAAACCUCACCAUUUCUCGCUACUACAGCCUAUAUACCACCGCCCUCAGUUCAUCUUUCAAAAGAAUAAUAAUGAACAAAAUGAUUAAAAAUAAAAAAGUCAGGUCAAGGUGUAGCAAAUGAAAUGGAAAGAAAUGGGCUACAUUUUUUAUAAUAAAAAACACGGAAUAUUAUAUGAAAUAAAAUAUAAAGAAGGAUUUAGAAGUAAAAAGAAAAAAGAGUGUUCUUUUUAAAUUGGCAAUAAAGCACGCACACACCGCCCGUCACCCUUUUCAAAAUAUAUAAAACUUAAAUAAAUAUAUAAACUUACAAGAAAAGGUAAGUCGUAACAUGGUAAGUCUACCGGAAGGUGGCCUUAGAUAUCAAAAUAUAGCUUAAAUAAAGCAUUUUGCUUACACCAAAAAAAUAUUUGUUAAACCAAAUUAUUUUGAAUUUUAAAUCUAGCCUAAAUAUAUAAUACUAAUUCCUAAUACACAAAACAUUAUCAUAUGAUAGUAAGGGC
rnacentral:rRNA from 1 species